UCUAGGAUAAGUUCAAAUGAUAAAGGCAGCAAGUAUUUAAUUACCAUCUCUCAGAAGACACAGGUUAGUUUUCAGCUCCCGAUGUGCUGAGAUCUGCCCAUGUGAGUAGAGUUUUGGGAGGCUGAGCUCACGUGGGUAGAGAUGUAAAGUUGUCCUCUGUCACUCUUCUGCCAGGAGAUCUUCAUGAUGUUGUUAUUUGUUUUUAAAGUUUAAGUGCACAUAUAUUUUAAGUGUAGUUAGCUCUGUUGAAGGCAAAUGGUGGUCAAUUUCAGAGCCACCCAAUUGAAAGCUAUUGACAUAGCAGAUUUGGUGAGGAUCAGGAAGAGCAGGGCUUCCGUGGAAAGGGCUUUUGAUGAAAAGGUAAACAGCUCAUGACUCCUCCGAUGGGCCUUUUGUUAAGAUGAUAGACAUUUAGGCCUCUUUUUACACUCUAAGUAUACAACUUUCUCCAGAAGGUAUUGGAUUGUUUGUUUCUUCAGUAUCUAUUUUUGCAAAACAGAUUGGAAACUUAAUUCCUUGUGUAGUCCAUGAGGCUUUGUACAAACUCUCAUCUCUGCAUGAUUCUCCUGCAUUUUGACUAAGAAGCCCUUCUGAACAAACAAGAGCCUGAAUGAUCAUCAGCUGCAAUUCAUUUUUUUGUUUGACAAGCAAUUGGUACAAAAGCUGGAGCUGUGACAGUGGUGCCAUCAGAAAUGGAUUGUGGUGUUCAUCUUAAGAAAACAAAAUCUCAGGAUGCUGGUAGGAACCAUGAGCGGCCAGAGGAGGAUGUCCAUAUUGCAGAUACCUUGGAGCAUAUUAUAGGACAGCUGGAUGUUCUGACUCAGAGAAGUACGUGUUAUCCAAAAAGAAGUUUAGGAUGAUGCACUGGAGUACCCAACAAGUACUGAAGCACAGCUGAUUUGGGGAUAUACAGCAUUGUAGGACUACAGGCAGUCUAAAAUAGAGUGAAAACCAAAAGAUAUUGAAAUUCGUUUGGCAGAAGUGCAAGAAAACACUUUUCUAUAGUCUUUAGAAUCUUCACUGGAGGGAGAAAGCUCUUCUAUGACAUUGGUUCUGUGUUUUUAUGAUGAAAUACACCCCAGUACAUGCACAAAAUAUCUUACUGUUUUUGUCUCCGUAGUAAGUUUGGAUUGUGAUAUUCAUCUUUAAUUACACAAAUCAGAUCCAUGGUCCUGAUGAAGUUUGUGUAAUGUCUCCUUUUCAACUUCAUAGGUACUUAGAGGGAGCAAAUAUUGCAGUAAGCAGCAUGUGUGGGGUUUAAACUAGAUAAAAGCAAUUCAGGCAUCUCUGCAAGUCAUUGCAUAACUGAAAAAAAAAUAAAAUGCUAUUUUAAACCUAGCAAAAAGAGAGUGAAGUGGAGAUCACUGGGGGAGGAAUGAAUUAGGAGGUUUUAGGAUAACAUUGAAACUAGCCCUGAAAUUAUAGUGUAAGAA